GAUGAAGAACGUAGCGAAAUGCGAUAAGUAAUGUGAAUUGCAGAAUUCAGUGAAUCAUCGAAUCUUUGAACGCACAUUGCGCCCGCCAGUAUUCUGGCGGGCAUGCCUGUUCGAGCGUCAUUACAACCCUCAGGCCCCCGGGCCUGGCGUUGGGGAUCGGCGGAGCCCCCCGUGGGCACACGCCGUCCCCCAAAUGCAGUGGCGGUCCCGCCGCAGCUUCCAUCGCGUAGUAGCUAACACCUCGCGAUUGGAGAGCGGCGCGGCCACGCCGUAAAACACCCAACUCUUCUGAAGUUGACCUCGAAUCAGGUAGGAAUACCCGCUGAACUUAAGCAUAUCAAUAAGCGGAGGA
rnacentral:misc_RNA from 1 species